AGGGUGGUGCUGGUUUUGUGGAAUCCUAAUGAAAUGAUGCAGUCUAUCUUGGUGCCUAUGAUGAUGAAGAAGCUGCUGCUCAAAGACAAACAGCCUCUCUACUGGUGGUUUGAAUGGGAUGAUGUGACUAUGUAGUUUCUAACAGGCUUGUGUUAAUUAGGUUAAAUGGAAUUAAAUCACAAGCUAUCUGCAGUUUCUGUACUAAAUUGACUGAUACUGUCUCAAGUGAAAUAGGAAAA